ensembl:miRNA Mir3569 microRNA 3569
CAGUCCCUUCCUCGGAGGACAGCAGACUCAGGUCGAAAUCGGGACCUGAGUCUGCGCUCCUCUCCAGCCCUAGACU